GAAGAACGCUGGCGGCGUGCCUAAUACAUGCAAGUCGAACGCAGUGGGUACGGGAGAGUAACACGUGGGUAACCUCCCAUCAGAGGUGAUAACACUUGGAAACAGGUGCUAAACCGAUAGUGAUGGCUGGAACCGCAGUUCAUUAGCUAGUUGGGGAGGUAACGGCACACCAAGGCCACGAUUCAUAGCCGGUCUGAGAGGGUGAUCGGCCACACUGGGACUGAGACACGGCCCAGACUCCUACGGGAGGCAGCAGUAGGGAAUCUUCGGCAAUGGGCGAAAGUCUGACCGAGCAACGCCGCGUGAGUGAAGAAGGUUUUCGGAUCGUAAAACUCUGUUGUUAGAGAAGCGGGAUCGAACCAGAAAGCCACGGCUAACUACGUGCCAGCAGCCGCGGUAAUAC
rnacentral:rRNA from 1 species